rnacentral:tRNA from 1 species
UUUAAAUAGUUUAGAAUAAAAUAUUGGUUUGUGGAGCCAAAGAGAUAGAGGAGAUAUUUUAGAUCA